rnacentral:rRNA from 1 species
UACGGAGGGUCCAAGCGUUAUCCGGAAUCAUUGGGUUUAAAGGGUCCGUAGGCGGUUUUGUAAGUCAGUGGUGAAAGUCCAUCGCUCAACGGUGGAACGGCCAUUGAUACUGCAAGACUUGAAUUAUUGGGAAGUAACUAGAAUAUGUAGUGUAGCGGUGAAAUGCUUAGAGAUUACAUGGAAUACCAAUUGCGAAGGCAGGUUACUACCAAUAUAUUGACGCUGAUGGACGAAAGCGUGGGGAGCGAACAGG